rnacentral:rRNA from 1 species
UGGGGAAUCUUGCGCAAUGGGCGAAAGCCUGACGCAGCGACGCCGCGUGAGUGAUGAAGGCCUUCGGGUUGUAAAGCUCUGUGGAGGGGGACGAAUAAGGGUUGGCUAACAUCCAACCCGAUGACGGUACCCCUUUAGCAAGCACCGGCUAACUCUGUGCCAGCAGCCGCGGUAAGACAGAGGGUGCAAACGUUGUUCGGAAUUACUGGGCGUAAAGCGCGUGUAGGCUGCUCGGAAAGUCGGGUGUGAAAGCCCUGGGCUCAACCUAGGAAGUGCACUCGAAACUUCCGAGCUGGAGUGCUGGAGAGGAAGGCGGAAUUCUCGGUGUAGAGGUGAAAUUCGUAGAUAUCGAGAGGAACACCGGUGGCGAAGGCGGCCUUCUGGACAGCGACUGACGCUGAGACGCGAAAGCGUGGGGAGCAAACAGG